rnacentral:rRNA from 1 species
CCUACGGGGGGCAGCAGUGGGGAAUAUUGCACAAUGGGGGAAACCCUGAUGCAGCAACGCCGCGUGAGCGAUGAAGGCCUUCGGGUCGUAAAGCUCUGUCCUAUGGGAAGAAUACUGACGGUACCUUAGGAGGAAGCCCCGGCUAACUACGUGCCAGCAGCCGCGGUAAUACGUAGGGGGCAAGCGUUAUCCGGAAUCACUGGGUGUAAAGGGUGCGUAGGCGGUAGGGCAAGUCAGAUGUGAAAGCCCGGGGCUCAACCCCGGGAUUGCAUUUGAAACUGUCUUAGUAGAGUGCAGGGGAGGAAAGCGGAAUGCGUAGGGGAGCGGGGAAAUGCGUAGAUAUUAGGAAGAACACCAGUGGCGAAGGCGGCUUUCUGGAGUGUAACUGACGCUGAGGCACGAAAGCGUGGGGAGCGAACAGGAUUAGAUACCCCUGUAGUG